rnacentral:rRNA from 1 species
GGCUUAAUACAUGCAAGUCGAGGGGCAGCAUGGUGUAGCAAUACACUGAUGGCGACCGGCAAACGGGUGCGGAACACGUACGCAACCUUCCCAAAACUGGUGAAUAGCCCUCCGAAAGGAGGAUUAAUACACCGUAACAUAUAGAUGUGGCAUCACAACUAUAUUAUAGUUUUAAUGGUUUUGGAUGGGCGUGCACCUGAUUAGGUAGUUGGCGGGGUAACGGCCCACCAAGCCUGCGAUCAGUAACUGGUGUGAGAGCACGACCAGUCACACGGGCACUGAGACACGGGCCCGACUCCUACGGGAGGCAGCAGUAAGGAAUAUUGGUCAAUGGACGAAAGUCUGAACCAGCCAUGCCGCGUGAAGGAUGAAGGUCCUCUGGAUUGUAAACUUCUUUUAUCUGGGACGAAAAAAGGGAAUUCUUUCUCACUUGACGGUACCAGAGGAAUAAGCACCGGCUAACUCCGUGCCAGCAGCCGCGGUAAUACGGAGGGUGCAAGCGUUAUCCGGAUUCACUGGGUUUAAAGGGAGCGUAGGUGGGCAGGUAAGUCAGUGGUGAAAUCUCUGGGCUUAACCCGGAAACUGCCAUUGAUACUAUUUGUCUUGAAUAUUCUGGAGGUAAGCGGAAUAUGUCAUGUAGCGGUGAAAUGCUUAGAUAUGACAUAGAACACCAAUUGCG